rnacentral:rRNA from 1 species
AUUGAACGCUGGCGGCAGGCCUAACACAUGCAAGUCGAACGAGGGGCGGACGGGUGAGUACUGUGUGGGAAACUGGCAGAUGGAGGUGGAUAACUACUGGAAACGGUAGCUACUCCCGCAUACCAUCGGAUGUGCGCAGAGGGGAUGAGAUUGUAGGUGAGGUAACGGCUAACCAAGGCGACGGUCCCUAGCUGGUCUGAGAGGAUGAACAGCCACACUGGAACGGAGACACGUUCCAGACUCCUACGGGAGGCAGCAGUGGGGAAUAUGGCACAAGGGGCGCAAGCCUGAUGCAGCCAUGCCGCGUGUGUGAAGAAGGCCUUCGGGUUGUAAAGUACUUUCAGUGGGGAGGCGUUACCAGCAGAAGAAGCACCGGCUAACUCCGUGCCAGCAGCCGCGGUAAUAC